rnacentral:misc_RNA from 1 species
GAUGAAGAACGCAGUGAAAUGCGAUAAGUAAUGUGAAUUGCAGAAUCCAGUGAAUCAUCGAAUCUUUGAACGCACAUUGCGCCCGCCAGCAUUCUGGCGGGCAUGCCUGAUCGAGCGUCAUUUCAACCCUCGACCUCCCUUUGGGGAAGUCGGCGUUGGGGACCGGCAGCACACCGCCGGCCCUGAAAUGGAGUGGCGGCCCGUCCGCGGCGACCUCUGCGUAGUAAUCCAACUCGCACCGGAACCCCGACGCGGCCACGCCGUAAAACACCCAACUUCUGAACGUUGACCUCGAAUCAGGUAGGACUACCCGCUGAACUUAAGCAUAUCAAUAAGCGGAGGA